GUGGAGACUGGCUGGCUGGAUGUGGUUUGGUCAUGGCUUGUUGAAGUUGGGAAGCAAGGUCUCCAGACUCUAGAGAGUGGUCCAUCAGGGAGGGGGCAGUGAGUGGGGGGUUGAGACCAGACUUCAGGCUCCAUGGCUUAUAGUGAUAGGGUGCUGGGCAAAGAGUUGCUGAUUCAUCCCUCUGUCACACCAGCUCCCAUUUAGGGGAAUAAAUUAGAGCUGGCUGGAGGUAACCUGGCUCUAAUUGGGGAAGCAGAGAUAGCUGCCACUAAUUAGCCUGGGGCUGUAUAAAGCCUCAGAGGAAGGAAGCCAGGGGGAGCAGAAGCAAGGAGAUAGCUCUUUCCCCCUACCUGCAGAUGGUGAAGGGCCAACUAUACAUGCUGAAAUGGUGGUGGAAACAAACCUGUGAAUAAAACUGCACUAGUGGUUACUAUUCCCAGGGUCUUAGACUGACUUUGUGGACCUAGCAGAGAUAGGAGCCAAGGGGUCCCUGCUGUGCACUGCUACACUUAUGAAGAGGAAGCCUGAACUGGGAAACCCACUGAAGCCAUGGAACGGGCACUCAGCCAAGCAAUUCCAAAUCGCGAUUAAACUCCAUAGCAGCUGAGCAACGGAAACCUCCAGUGAUAUGAAACUGUUUCCUGCUAAAUAGGAGUCUGAACCUGCCAGGUGCUGAGAGCUCUCAACUCCCACGGAAGGGAAUGAUACUCGGAACCUGGAUACCGUGACGACCGAGCUAUGGCUGAGUCCAAAAGUCAUGCUAAUGUGGUGAAGCAUAGCAAUGAAUGAAGUGACUGAAAGGCAGGAAUUGAGGACUGUUGCAGAAAGUCAAAUGCAUUUCCGUCGUUGUGGCAAGACAACCUCUUCGUUGGAUAGGUUGACCUCCCGCAGACUAGGAUCCAUGAAAUUUCAGAGGCUUGUGUGUGUCCUACCAGGUCACGUGUUCAUAGCAUGUCAUGAGCUGAAUGCUACAGUGUUACUCUAGAUGGAAUAUCAUUCCAGGUUUUGUUUUUUUGAGCAUUUAUAUAGCACAUAAUUAAAUGGGACUGGCUUUCAUGGUGCUAAAUCCUGUGCAAGGAUGCAAAAUCAAUUUCUCAAAGCUUUAAAAGUAUGUUAACCUGUGCAUUUUUGUAUACAGAUCCAGAUUUCAGCAUCCCUUUUUUUUCCUUUACUUGCAAUUAUAUAAUUACUGUACACCAACAUAUUACAUUAAAGGAAGGUAAAUCUUAUUUCAUUUGGAUUUCCCUUUCACAGCAGCAGUGUCACAGCUUCUAAAACAUUUUUCAUGUGAACACAAUGAGAAAAAUCAAAGUGUCAUGACACUAUUUUCAACUACUUUUAUUCUUAAAAGAAAAGGCUGCUGAUAAUUACAGACAGUGUGCAUGUAGGUGGUGAGAGUGAUCCAUUAAAACAUUUGUUAAUGUCAAAUCUUAGUUUUACAGGUUUUAUUGUAAAUGUCUUCAAUGUCAAUGUAUCUAUUUAAUUUAUUUGGAUAGAUCAUGGUUGCCACCUCCAAAGGGGCCAGAUAGCUAGCUUAAACAACCAUCUAUGGCUU